AUAUCAUUUCUCUCUCUCACAUAAUCCGCUCCAUUUCAAUGACGAGCAAUUCUAUUUCUGAAUCCACCAAGCCCAAUAUCUAUCCUCAGGAUAAGGAUGAAUUGCAGAAGGUCUUCAACCGCUUCGACGCCAACGGCGACGGCAAGAUCUCCAGCUCCGAGCUCGCCAACGUGCUGCGGGCCCUCGGAUCUGAGUCGUCGCCCGAGGAGAUGAGCCGUGUGAUGAAGGAGAUCGACACCGAUGACGACGGCUGCAUAAACCUGGAGGAGUUCGCCCAGUUCUGCAAGUCGGGGAGCAACGCCGACGCCGGAGAGCUGCGUGAUGCGUUUCAGUUGUACGAUGGGGAUAAGAACGGGUUGAUCUCGGCGGUAGAGCUCCACCAGGUGUUGAAGCAGUUGGGGGAGAAGUGCUCGGUGCAGGACUGUCAGAAGAUGAUCGGAUCUUUUGACUCCGACGGGGACGGCAAUAUUAGCUUUGACGAGUUCAAGGAGAUGAUGACCAAAUCCAGCCCUAAACAGCGUCAACAGUGAUGUACGGUGAUUCACUGCUGAGGCGCAUGGAUUCUUGGUAGCCGCCACCACAUGGGAUCCCUUCGCUGCAGCGCACGGUCUCAAACUGUCACGUAUCAGUGUUAGAUUUCUGGCUUUUGCAAUAAUAUUCAAC
rnacentral:lncRNA from 1 species